rnacentral:rRNA from 1 species
GGGCCCGCACAAGCGGUGGAGUAUGUGGUUUAAUUCGAUGCAACGCGAAGAACCUUACCAGGGUUUGACAUCCUGCGAAUCUCUUGGAAACAGGAGAGUGCCUUCGGGAACGCAGUGACAGGUGGUGCAUGGCUGUCGUCAGCUCGUGUCGUGAGAUGUUGGGUUAAGUCCCGCAACGAGCGCAACCCACGUCUUUAGUUGCCAGCAUUUAGUUGGGCACUCUAUGGAAACUGCCCGUGAUAAGCGGGAGGAAGGUGUGGAUGACGUCAAGUCCUCAUGGCCCUUACGGGUUGGGCUACACACGUGCUACAAUGGUAGUGACAAUGGGUUAAUCCCAAAAAUGCUAUCU